rnacentral:rRNA from 1 species
ACUCCUACGGGAGGCAGCAGUGGGGAAUCUUGCGCAAUGGGGGAAACCUUGACGCAGCAACGCCGCGUGGGUGAUGAAGGCCUUCGGGUCGUAAAGCCCUGUCAGGUGGGAAGAAACGUAUCGGUGUUAAUACCACCGAUAUUUGACGGUACUACCGGAGGAAGCACCGGCUAACUCCGUGCCAGCAGCCGCGGUAAUACGGAGGGUGCAAGCGUUGUUCGGAAUUACUGGGCGUAAAGCGCGUGUAGGCGGUCGGGCAAGUCAGAUGUGAAAGCCUUCCGCUUAACGGAAGAAGUGCAUUUGAAACUACCCGGCUGGAGUACGGGAGAGGAGAGUGGAAUUCCCGGUGUAGAGGUGAAAUUCGUAGAUAUCGGGAGGAACACCAGUGGCGAAGGCGGCUCUCUGGUCCGAUACUGACGCUGAUACGCGAAAGCGUGGGGAGCAAACAGGAUUAGAUACCCUGGUAGUCCACGCCGUAAACGAUGGGCACUAGGUGUAGGAGGUAUUGACCCCUUCUGUGCCGAAGUUAACGCAUUAAGUGCCCCGCCUGGGGA